rnacentral:tRNA from 1 species
UAUAUUUUGUUUCUAAAGGUUUUGAAAACCUUAAUUAGGGACUAAAUAGUCCCAACUUUAC